GUGUCUUUUCCUUGUCUCCUGCUGCCAGCGUGGGCGUUGGGGCGCUGGAGGUAUCCCAUGUGGUGGCAUCGGGCCAUACCAGUCGCUGAUGUGUGUCAUGGGGAGGUCUAAUGCCCUCUGGAAUACUGGGACAUCCUGUAUGGUGUGGAUGCUGUGUUGGUUGCCGUUACUCGUGGUGCUUAAAGCAAAUGGAAAUCCCCACCUGUAUCUGAUGUUCCUCACCCUCAGCUGGUCCGUGAUGGAUUUCAGUGAGCGUCUGGCUUGUAGUGUGAGCCAGGAGAGGUCUGGAUAUAUACUGAUUGGGUCACUGUGAAACAGCAGCGGCUGGUUGGAAUUUCGUAAUGCUGCCAGGAUAUCUUCUUUGCACCUGUAAUAAUGCAGCCUGCAUAUUACAUCCCUG